GUUUGAGGCAUUUUCCCAUCACAUGGCUUGUGUAUGCACAAAUCACACCAAGGCCUACGAGCAAGAAAAUUGAAGACCAUCCUCCAUUCUCCAGAGCAUAAGGAGUGGAUAGUUGUCCAAGACCUGAAAUUGAAAAGUUUGCUCUGUUGGCUUGCCAUUAUAUGAUGAAACUGGCAGAGAACGUGCGGAUGAUAUUCACUCCAAAUGCACAGAUUACUGCUAGACAGUUGCGCUUUCAGAUGUCUGCGCACUUCAUGGUCUGCACCUGAGUGCUAGGUGUAUGUACUUAUAAUAUUGCAUGGUGUGAGUAUAUUUGCAUACCUGCACGUGAAAGUUGGCAUGGCUGCUAAUUGUGGGAGGGCUGCUUGGAAGAUUCAGGCAUCUUAGUCUGGUAUUGACAGAUCUUGAGGUCUUCAAAUUGAUAGUAAAUUUGCCAAAUUGGAUAUCAGAUGGUGGGAUUCCAUUUGAAAAAAGAUUUGUAGAAAAAUUGGUUCAUUUUUAAAUGUUUCUUUUACAUUUUUCAAUUUUCCUUUCUACUGUUGCUUC